GAUGAACGCUAGCGGCAGGCCUUACACAUGCAAGUCGAGGGAGAAACCCUUCGGGGCAGAAACCGGCGCACGGGUGCGUAACGCGUAUGCAACCUACCUUUCACAGGGGGAUAGCCCGAAGAAAUUUGGAUUAAUACCCCAUAAUAUUAUUGGGUGGCAUCAUUUGAUAAUUAAAAUUACGAUGGUGAAAGAUGGGCAUGCGUCCUAUUAGCUAGUUGGAGUGGUAACGGCACGCCAAGGCUACGAUAGGUAGGGGUCCUGAGAGGGAGAUCCCCCACACUGGUACUGAGACAGGGACCAGACUCCUACGGGAGGCAGCAGUGAGGAAUAUUGGUCAAUGGUCGGAAGACUGAACCAGCCAUGCCGCGUGCAGGAAGAAUGCCUUAUGGGUUGUAAACUGCUUUUAUAUGGGAAGAAUAAGGAGUACGUGUACUUUGAUGACGUACCAUAUGAAUAA
rnacentral:rRNA from 1 species